rnacentral:lncRNA from 1 species
AGAAAAUUGUAUAUUCACAGUGGUAGAUCUCACCUGAAGAACCACCAGAUUCAAGGUUUAUGCUUUCUUCAAAAUAUAUAGUUGUCAGAGGUGUAGACCAUGUGACCACCUUUUGCCAUUUGCUUUGUGUGUGGAUAACUGAAAAGUUUUAAUAUUUGUACCAUAAUUUCUGUUGUACAAAACUUGGACAAAAGAAGUGGUUACAAUGAGGUACUCCAUGCGAGUUAUUUCUGUCAUGCCUUGUUCAUAAAAACUUCUAAUUUGUGUCAGGGAGGCAUAGUCUACAUCUUUUUCUCUUACCUUUGUCAACAAGUAGAGGGAAAUACCUGCCAAUAGUUAGUCUCAGAGGUGAUGAGUCCUGUACAGUUCUAGGAAGUGGUAUACCAGAAGACCUGGUCUGCUUUGAAGUAGAGGCUCAACAAGAGCUGUGACCAGGUUCAUCCUGAAAGUCUUCUGGGGUAAUACCAGCUGAUUGGUCUGUUGUUUUUACAGAAUAGGUUACCCAUCGGGACUCAUGUUCACCUCUGUUGAAUGGAAGUACAUGGGAAGGUUCCUCUACGGUGAUCUGCACCCAGGUCCAAGUGUCACUGCAGG